GUAGGUGGCAAGCGUUGUCCGGAAUUAUUGGGCGUAAAGCGCGCGCAGGCGGUCCUUUAAGUCUGAUGUGAAAGCCCACGGCUCAACCGUGGAGGGUCAUUGGAAACUGGGGGACUUGAGUACAGAAGAGGAAAGCGGAAUUUCAAGUGUAGCGGUGAAAUGCGUAGAGAUUUGGAGGAACACCAGUGGCGAAGGCGGCUUUCUGGUCUGUAACUGACGCUGAGGCGCGAAAGCGUGGGGAGCAAACAGGGAUUAGAUACCCUGGUAGUCCACGCCGUAAACGAUGAGUGCUAAGUGUUAGGGGGUUUCCCGCCCCUUAGUGCUGCAGCUUACGCAUUAAGCACUCCGCCUGGGGAGUACGGCCGCAAGGCUG
rnacentral:rRNA from 1 species